GACGAACCGAGCGAACGUUGUUCGGAAUCACUGGGCUUAAAGGGCGCGUAGGCGGGCUGCCAAGUUUGGGGUGAAAUCCUCCGGCUCAACCGGGGAAGUGCCUCGAAUACUGGCGGUCUGGAGGGAGGUAGGGGCGUGCGGAACUGUGGGUGGAGCGGUGAAAUGCGUUGAUAUCCACAGGAACUCCGGUGGCGAAGGCGGCACGCUGGACCUUUUCUGACGCUGAGGCGCGAAAGCCAGGGGAGCAAACGGG
rnacentral:rRNA from 1 species